GUUGCCUCUGAAAAUGAUUUUGAUGAUCACAAAAUAUUAGAGCAUAUUUCGAUAUUAAUAUUCUUUUAAGUAUGGCAAAGAAUAUUUAUGUAGAAAAAAAAGACUGUUUGGUGACUCUAAAUUUAAUUGAAGAUCAUUUAAGUCAAGAAAAAUCGAGUUUUGAGAGUCUUGGCAUAACCGCAUAAGAAAAAUUACUUUGAGGAAGUCGAGCCGACUCUGUCAGAAAUCGAGCC
rnacentral:lncRNA from 1 species